CCCGAGACUAGAGUCACAUGGUGGCCGCGCUGGUUGCCUCGGUGUGCUAGAGUCCUCGGAGAGAAAACACUGAUCUUUAUUCACUGGUUGGCUUUCAUUGUGGCUUAACCGGUCACCGGCUCAGUGACAUUG
ensembl:snoRNA